rnacentral:rRNA from 1 species
UACGUAGGGGGCAAGCGUUGUCCGGAAUCAUCGGGCGUAAAGCGCGCGUAGGCGGCCCGGUAAGUCCGUUGUGAAAGUCAAAGGCUCAACCUUUGAACGCCGAUGGAUACUGCCGGGCUAGAGUCCGGAAGAGGCGAGUGGAAUUCCUGGUGUAGCGGUGGAAUGCGCAGAUAUCAGGAGGAACACCAAUAGCGAAGGCAGCUCGCUGGGACGGUACUGACGCUGAGGCGCGAAAGCGUGGGGAGCGAACAGG